rnacentral:rRNA from 1 species
GCAAGUCGAGCGGAAACGAUGGGAGCUUGCUCCCAGGCGUCGAGCGGCGGACGGGUGAGUAACGCGUAGGAAUCUACCCAGUAGUGGGGGAUAGCCCGGGGAAACUCGGAUUAAUACCGCAUACGCCCUACGGGGGAAAGGCCGGGAUCUCUUCGGAGACCGGUCACUAUUGGAGGAGCCUGCGUUGGAUUAGCUAGUUGGUGAGGUAAAGGCUCACCAAGGCUACGAUCCAUAGCUGUUCUGAGAGGAAGAUC